CUUGAGCUUGAUCAUGGCUCAGAUUGAACGCUGGCGGCAGGCCUAACACAUGCAAGUCGAGCGGCAGCACGGGAAGCUUGCUUCCUGGUGGCGAGCGGCGGACGGGUGAGUAAUGCAUAGAAAUCUGCCCGGUAGUGGGGGAUAACCUGGGGAAACCCAGGCUAAUACCGCAUACGUCCUACGGGAGAAAGCAGGGGAUCUUCGGACCUUGCGCUAUCGGAUGAGUCUAUGUCGGAUUAGCUUGUUGGUGAGGUAAUGGCUCACCAAGGCGACGAUCCGUAGCUGGUCUGAGAGGAUGAUCAGCCACAUCGGGACUGAGACACGGCCCGAACUCCUACGGGAGGCAGCAGUGGGGAAUAUUGGACAAUGGGCGAAAGCCUGAUCCAGCCAUGCCGCGUGUGUGAAGAAGGCCUUCGGGUUGUAAAGCACUUUCAGUGGGGAAGAAAGCCUUGGGGCUAAUACCCUCGAGGAAGGACUCACCCCCA
rnacentral:rRNA from 1 species